UACCGUCGACAGUCAGGCAACGAGCGAGACCCCUGCCUCUAGUUGCUACCAUUACUCUCAGGAGUAGUGGAGCUAAUUAGAGGGACUGCCGUCGCUGAGACGGAGGAAGGAGGGGGCUACGGCAGGUCAGUAUGCCCCGAAACCCUCGGGCCACACGCGGGCUGCAAUGGUAAUCUCUAUGAGGGUCGAUUCCGAAAGGAGGAGGCAAUCUCUAAACCUCUUAUAAGGAUGAUUGAGGGCUGAAACUCGCCCUCAUGAAUAUGAAUCCCUAGUAACCGCGGUCACUUCGCGCGGAA
rnacentral:rRNA from 1 species